AUUUAAAUAAUUUAAUAAAAAUUUUGAUUUGUGGAAUCAAAUUUAUAUGAAUUAAUCAUAUUUUAAAUU
rnacentral:tRNA from 1 species